GUCCUGGUGGUGCAGUGGUUAAGCACUUGGCUGCUAACCAAAAGGUCAGUGGUUCGAAUCCACCAUGGUG
rnacentral:tRNA from 1 species